rnacentral:lncRNA from 1 species
AUGACGCAGGAAAUAGCCGACAAGUUGAACGUCAAGCCAGACGGAAAGGAAACCCUCAACAUAUCCGCCUUCGGAAAUUCUGACAAGAAUGUUCGUCACAUGAAUAAAGCCACAGUGUAUUUAGAAGCAGACUCAGGAGAGAAAAUACCUUUACAGGUAUUGAUUGUACCUACCAUAGCAGCGCCGAUUCAGAAUAACCGCAGGUACAUUUCGCAGCAACUACAUUAUUUGAAAGGACUAAAACUAGCCCACCCGUUAUCAGAGGAUAACAGCUUUGAUAUUUCUUUACUCAUUGGAGCAGACCAUUACUGGGAUGUAAUCAAGGAUGAUAUCGUUCGAGGCGACGGACCGACAGCGAUGAGCUCAAAAAUAGGAUAUUUGUUAUCUGGACCACUUACAUGUACAAGAGUACAACGCGAUUCACACAUGAUGCAUAUAUUAUCUAGUCACACAAAAGAGGACUACGAUAUUGAGAGAUUUUGGAAAUUGAAGUCCCUUGGUAUACAAGAAAACGACAAACUUAACACGGAAAAACAGAACAUCAAAGAAUUUUCAUCCUGUACAAAGCAGAAAAAACGUGGUUUCAUCGAAAAGGUAGAAGAGAAGGAGGACUCACAGCGCAUACACUACAUACCUCAUCAUCCCGUUAAAAAAAAAACGACAAUGAUGAAUCGCAAAUA